GACGAACGCUGGCGGCGUGCUUAACACAUGCAAGUCGAACGGAAAGGCCCUGCUUUUGUGGGGUGCUCGAGUGGCGAACGGGUGAGUAACACGUGAGUAACCUGCCCUUGACUUUGGGAUAACUUCAGGAAACUGGGGCUAAUACCGGAUAGGAGCUCCUGCUGCAUGGUGGGGGUUGGAAAGUUUCGGCGGUUGGGGAUGGACUCGCGGCUUAUCAGCUUGUUGGUGGGGUAGUGGCUUACCAAGGCUUUGACGGGUAGCCGGCCUGGGAGGGUGACCGGCCACAUUGGGCCUGAGAUACGGCCCAGACUCCUACGGGAGGCAGCAGUGGGGAAUAUUGCCCAAUGGGCGGAAGCCUGAUGCAGCAACGCCGCGUGCGGGAUGACGGCCUUCGGGUUGUAAACCGCUUUCGCCUGUGACGAAGCGUGAGUGACGGUAAUGGGUAAAGAAGCACCGGCUAACUACGUG
rnacentral:rRNA from 1 species